rnacentral:rRNA from 1 species
UACGUAGGGGGCAAGCGUUGUCCGGAUUUAUUGGGCGUAAAGAGCGCGCAGGCGGUCGUUCAAGUCGAGUGUGAAAGCCCCCGGCUCAACUGGGGAGGGUCAUUCGAUACUGAUCGACUCGAAGGCAGGAGAGGGUAGUGGAAUUCCCGGUGUAGUGGUGAAAUGCGUAGAUAUCGGGAGGAACACCAGUGGCGAAGGCGACUACCUGGCCUGUUCUUGACGCUGAGGCGCGAAAGCUAGGGGAGCAAACGGGGAU